rnacentral:rRNA from 1 species
GGAGGGUGCGAGCGUUGUUCGGAAUUACUGGGCGUAAAGCGCGUGUAGGCGGCCUUGCAAGUCAGGCGUGAAAGCCCUCGGCUUAACCGGGGAAGUGCGUCUGAAACUGCUUGGCUUGAGUACGGGAGAGGGAGGCGGAAUUCCCAGUGUAGAGGUGAAAUUCGUAGAUAUUGGGAGGAACACCGGUGGCGAAAGCGGCCUCCUGGACCGAUACUGACGCUGAGACGCGAAAGCGUGGGGAGCAAACAGGAUUAGAUACCCUGGUAGUCCACGCGGUAAACGAUGGGCACUAGGUGUGGGGGGUAUCCACUCCUCCCGUGCCGAAGCUAACGCAUUAAGUGCCCCGCCUGGGUAGUACGGCCGCAAGGUUA